CAACAGUGUAGUUUCACAUUAUUCAUAUUCUUCAACGUUUGAUCGUUUGUCUUAUUUGAAAACUUUUUAUGAUUAAUAUUUUUGUUGUUAUUAGAUGACGAAAUAUAAAUAGUAUUUUAUGUGUGACUAAAUUUUUUUAAUUUUUUUUAAAAAAUUUUAAAUAAGACGGACAGUCAAACAUUGAUCAUAGAUAUUUAUGGCUACACUUAUU
rfam:Oryza meridionalis cultivar OR44 (W2112) chromosome 2, whole genome shotgun sequence.